rnacentral:rRNA from 1 species
UACAGAGGGUGCGAGCGUUGUUCGGAAUUAUUGGGCGUAAAGCGCGUGUAGGCGGGAUGGCAAGUCGGGUGUGAAAGCCCUCAGCUCAACUGAGGAAGUGCGCCCGAAACUACUGUUCUUGAGUACUGGAGAGGGUGGCGGAAUUCCCGGUGUAGAGGUGAAAUUCGUAGAUAUCGGGAGGAACACCGGUGGCGAAGGCGGAUCUCUGGGCCGUAACUGACGCUGAGGAGCGAAAGCAUGGGGAGCGAACAGG